rnacentral:rRNA from 1 species
GGUUCAGGAUGAACGCUGGCGGCGUGCUUAACACAUGCAAGUCGAACGGACUUACAUGAAGCCUAGCGAUUGAAAGUUAGUGGCGGACGGGUGAGUAACGCGUGGGUAACCUGCCGUAUGCCGGGGGACAACAGUUGGAAACGACUGCUAAUACCGCAUAAGCGCACAGAUAGGCAUCUAUCAGUGUGAAAAACUCCGGUGGCAUACGAUGGACCCGCGUCUGAUUAGGCAGUUGGCGGUGUAACGGACCACCAAACCGACGAUCAGUAGCCGGCCUGAGAGGGUGAACGGCCACAUUGGGACUGAGACACGGCCCAAACUCCUACGGGAGGCAGCAGUGGGGAAUAUUGCACAAUGGGGGAAACCCUGAUGCCAGCGACGCCGCGUGAGUGAAGAAGUAUUUCGGUAUGUAAAGCUCUAUCAGCAGGAAAGAAAAUGACGGUACCUGACUAAGAAGCCCCGGCUAACUACGUGCCAGCCGCCGC